rnacentral:rRNA from 1 species
GACGAACGCUGGCGGCGUGCCUAAUACAUGCAAGUUGAGCGCUGAAGGUUGGUACUUGUACCAACUGGAUGAGCAGCGAACGGGUGAGUAACGCGUGGGGAAUCUGCCUUUGAGCGGGGGACAACAUUUGGAAACGAAUGCUAAUACCGCAUAAAAACUUUAAACACAAGUUUUAAGUUUGAAAGAUGCAAUUGCAUCACUCAAAGAUGAUCCCGCGUUGUAUUAGCUAGUUGGUGAGGUAAAGGCUCACCAAGGCGAUGAUACAUAGCCGACCUGAGAGGGUGAUCGGCCACAUUGGGACUGAGACACGGCCCAAACUCCUUCGGGAGGCAGCAGUAGGGGAUCUUCGGCAAUAGACGGAAGUCUGACCGAGCAACGCCGGGUGAGUGAAGAAGGGUUUCGGAUCGUAAAACUCUGUUGGUAGAGAAGAACGUUGGUGAGAGUGGAAAGCUCAUCAAGUGACGGUAACUACCCAGAAAGGGACGGCUAACUACGUG